rnacentral:rRNA from 1 species
UACGAAGGGGGCUAGCGUUGCUCGGAAUCACUGGGCGUAAAGCGCACGUAGGCGGAUUGUUAAGUCGGGGGUGAAAUCCUGGAGCUCAACUCCAGAACUGCCUUCGAUACUGGCGAUCUUGAGUCCGGGAGAGGUGAGUGGAACUCCGAGUGUAGAGGUGAAAUUCGUAGAUAUUCGCAAGAACACCAGUGGCGAAGGCGGCUCACUGGCCCGGUACUGACGCUAAGGCACGAAAGCGUGGGGAGCAAACAGG